UUGACCAGAGUUGGGUGUCGAUGUUCUUCACCUGUCUCACCUCCAGUCGCAUCAUCACGAUCUCAGACCUGCACACAGUGUUUUAUGGCCACUUUGUACACUAAAUGGUUGGGUUAGGUUAGCUUUAAGUAGUUUUAUUACUGAAUGACCUCCAGACAUUUCUGUACUGGUACUUGUUCAAAAGUAAUGAAAUUCCAGCACAGCCUUGAUAAAAGUUAAUUAUAAUGGAAACAGUUCUACUGUAGGAUGUGUGCAGAAAUCAUUUUUCGAUAAAUGAAGAGUUCAAACUGACUGUCCAGCACCACGGAAAGCUGCACCGAUCUUUUUCUGUCCCUUCUGUUUUGGUCUGGUUCAGAUGAGACUCAGGGGUCAGAAAGAUCUGCUGAGUAAAACAAUAAAAUCUAACAAUACUGACAGUGAUACCUAAUGACUGUCAGUAUUGUUGACAGUCACUACAGUAAUCUGUAAUAAAUGAUUACACUUUACAAAGACUCAUUUCUCAGAUUAGAUGUUGCUACUAAGGGGAUGGAGUUGAAGAUCGUGUUGAAAUGUCCUCCAAACAAUUUGAUUUUCUGACCUAACCCUGCAGUUCCGCUUGGGUUUGAAAAUGUGAUCAAACCCAACCAGUAAAAUAAAUGUAAAAGGAUCUUUAGAAGAGUUGAAUAAGACUUUGGUAUGAAUUGAAGACAACAGGAUGCAAUCACUUGGAGUGAGAUCACCAGAGAAUCUAGUGUAUUAGUUGCACUUGAAUGCAUCAUGGAGUUAAGACAUAAACUGAAUGGCCUAGGUGGGCCUAGAACAGAAUCAAGUCCAGUCAGAGCUGCAGCCUCAGUUUCCUCCUAAGCAGCUGCUAUGGUAAGAAAUAAGACAUCUCUUGUGAAUCCAGUUUCCAGACUGAGACCUUUACUGAGUGAUUAUUGGUCACGAGACAGCCCCAGACUCCAGGAUCUGUUUUCAUGGAUUCACUCUGAGAGGAGGUGUGUAUCAGUUCAUGAAACAUCUUAUCAGGCUUCAUCACUGAAGCAGGUACCAGUUCAUUUCCAAUCACUUCUAUAUGCAUGCAGGUCAUCAGUUCAUCACAGAAUCACACAUACAAACCCAUCCAGAGUCACACCUUCAGGCCAGAACCCGUUACCUGAACGUGCCUCUGGACUCUGGGAAAACUCAUGAAGCAUACAUAAAUGUCCAGUGAAGACAGAGAGGUGGGUCGGUUGGAGCAGCAAAAAAGUUUAGGGGGACACACCAGAAAACUGGAGAGCAGGCAGAAAUGAAGUGAGAGGAAAAAGAGGAUGAAGAUGAAGGAGAAAGUUUUGAGAGGAAACAGAUCAACAGUCAUCAUGGAGGAUAAAAGGUCUGAACUGGUGCGACAUUCUGACGCUGCCUGACUGAACUGUACCUCAUGGUUUCAUCCGUGUUGGUGGCAUUUAGCAUGCAUCAAAACACGGAACUCUCUCAACUCCACUUCCUGCAACGCACAGUGGAGGCGUGUGGCUACUGCUCAAUGCAUGCAGCACUUACCCAUGGUGCAGCGCUGCAGCCAGCGGCAGUGUGCAAUGCAUGCUAAGUCAGAAUCAGAAGAAAUAUUGUCAAGGGUCUUUAUUAUCAAUAUGUAACCAGAAUGACAUUUCUGUGAGAAGUCGGCUCAGAAUUAACAUAUAACACACAGACACGAAUCAAAGACAUCCACUGAAAAAUCAAAAUUUAACAUUCACUGAAAACCCCUCAAAAUGCAAAAAAGAAAAA